GCGCAAGCGUUGUCCGGAAUUAUUGGGCGUAAAGAGCUUGUAGGUGGCUUGUCGCGUCUGCCGUGAAAACCCGAGGCUCAACCUCGGGCGUGCGGUGGGUACGGGCAGGCUAGAGUGUGGUAGGGGAGACUGGAACUCCUGGUGUAGCGGUGAAAUGCGCAGAUAUCAGGAAGAACACCGAUGGCGAAGGCAGGUCUCUGGGCCAUUACUGACACUGAGAAGCGAAAGCAUGGGUAGCGAACAGGAUUAGAUACCCUGGUAGUCCAUGCCGUAAACGUUGGGCACUAGAUGUGGGGGACAUUCCACGUUUUCCGCGUCGUAGCUAACGCAUUAAGUGCCCCGCCUGGGGAGUACGGCCGCAAGGCUAAAACUCAAAGGAAUUGACGGGGGCCCGCACAAGCGGCGGAGCAUGCUGAUUAAUUCGAUGCAACGCGAAGAACCUUACCAAGGCUUGACAUGCACCGGACGACCUCAGAGAUGGGGUUUUCUUCGGACUGGUGCACAGGUGGUGCAUGGUUGUCGUCAGCUCGUGUCGUGAGAUGUUGGGUUAAGUCCCGCAACGAGCGCAACCCUUGUUCUAUGUUGCCAGCACGUGAUGGUGGGGACUCAUAGGAGACUGCCGGGGUCAACUCGGAGGAAGGUGGGGACGACGUCAAAUCAUCAUGCCCCUUAUGUCUUGGGCUUCAAGCACGCUACAAUGGUCGGUACAAUGGGUUGCGAAACUGUGAGGUGGAGCGAAUCCCAAAAAGCCGGCCUCAGUUCGGAUUGGGGUCUGCAACUCGACCCCAUGAAGUCGGAGUCGCUAG
rnacentral:rRNA from 1 species